rnacentral:rRNA from 1 species
AAACCCAAAAGAUCGAAUGGGGGGAUUCAUCGUCAGCGGCUCCGGCCUCCCGUCUGCGCGUGAUGCCCUGCCACGGACCUUCGAGGUACCGCGGCGAGGGCACGCCGUCUUCGGCGAAUGUCUGGAGUCGUAGUCGUGCACUUCUCCCCUAGUAGAACGUCGCGACCCGUUGAGUGUCGGUCUACGGCCCGAGUGGACGCCUGCCACGUCGUCUCGUACGCACGCGGCAGACCCUCGGUCGCCCGGCCGGCUGCUCGGCGGUACUCGCACGGUAUCGGGCCGCAACCAAUCCAUCUUUGAAUGUGUUUGCGUCGGGCCCGCCGCAAGCUGGUUCAGCAACUCCGGAGGUCGGACUUAGGGCCGUCCCCGGUACUGGCCAGCUGUUGGUAGGCGGUGUCCUCGGACUGGCCAAGCUUCGAAUUACCGGUCGGCGACGCUACUGCUUUGGGUACUCUCAGGACCCGUCUUGAAACACGGACCAAGGAGUCUAACAUGUGUGCGAGUCAUUGGGACAGAAAAACCUAAAGGCGAAAUGAAAGUGAAGGUCGGCCUCAGCGUCGACCGAGGGAGGAUGGGCCGCGUCACGAUGCGGCUCCGCACUCCCGGGGCGUCUCGUUCUCAUUGCGAGAAGAGGCGCACCCAGAGCAUACACGUUGGGACCCGAAAGAUGGUGAACUAUGCCUGGUCAGGACGAAGUCAGGGGAAACCCUGAUGGAGGUCCGUAGCGAUUCUGACGUGCAAAUCGAUCGUCGGAACUGGGUAUAGGGGCGAAAGACUAAUCGAACCAUCUAGUAGCUGGUUCCCUCCGAAGUUUCCCUCAGGAUAGCUGGCACUCGCUCGAUCGAGUCUCAUCUGGUAAAGCGAAUGAUUAGAGGCCUUGGGGCCGAAACGACCUCAACCUAUUCUCAAACUUUAAAUGGGUGAGAUCUCUGGCUUGCUUGAACUAUGAAGCCACGAGAUUUCGGAUCAGAGUGGCCAAGUGGGCCAAUUUUGGUAAGCAGAACUGGCGCUGUGGGAUGAACCAAACGCGGAGUUAAGGCGCCUAAGUCGACGCUUAUGGGAUACCAUGAAAGGCGUUGGUUGCUUAAGACAGCAGGACGGUGGCCAUGGAAGUCGGAAUCCGCUAAGGAGUGUGUAACAACUCACCUGCCGAAGCAACUAGCCCUGAAAAUGGAUGGCGCUGAAGCGUCGCGCCUAUACUCCGCCGUCAGUGGCAAGUGGGGCGGGACGCGUCCAACUCGUUGGCCGUCCUCCAUGAAGCCCUGAUGAGUAGGAGGGUCGCGGCGGUGUGCGCAGAAGGGUCUGGGCGAGAGCCUGCCUGGAGCCGCCGUCGGUGCAGAUCUUGGUGGUAGUAGCAAAUACUCCAGCGAGGCCCUGGAGGACUGACGUGGAGAAGGGUUUCGUGUGAACAGCCGUUGCACACGAGUCAGUCGAUCCUAAGCCCUAGGAGAAAUCCUAUGUCGAUGUGGCGUUGUGCCAAAAACUAUAUAUAUAUUGAACUAUAAAUAGACACACGCCCGUCGGGCGAAAGGGAAUCCGGUUCCUAUUCCGGAACCCGGCAGCGGAACCGCAUACCAUUCGGGCCCUCGUGAGAGUGUUCGUCGGGGUAACCCAAAAUGACCUGGAGACGCCGUCGGGAGAUCCGGGAAGAGUUUUCUUUUCUGUAUAAGCGUUCGAGUUCCCUGGAAACCUCUAGCAGGGAGAUAGGGUUUGGAACGCGAAGAGCACCGCAGUUGCGGCGGUGUCCGGAUCUUCCCCUCGGACCUUGAAAAUCCAGGAGAGGGCCACGUGGAGGUGUCGCGCCGGUUCGUACCCAUAUCCGCAGCAGGUCUCCAAGGUAAAGAGCC